UUUUUCGAGGAUAGCCAUGCCAAAUGUAAACAAAUAUUCGAGGAUAAGUUUUUGUCAAUGUAUUGUGUAUUGUCGUGUCUCGUCAUGUGUUUUCGGGAGUUCCCCUAUUCUUGUAUUUGCUCUUUUCUCUCCUGAUUUUGCUUUGCUUCUCUUCAUGUCCGUAGACUCUUCGCGUUGUGUGGUGGUAUGUUUGUGUGUAACAACGGUACUUUCGCUGCAAGGUUGGAAGGGGUGGGCGUCGAGUGUGUUUGUUUAUCAGCUGUGAUCUGUGCGUGUGAAACUUUUUCAUUGUGCUGAAACGGAUGAGUGAGAGUAAGAUUAGAAACAGAAUGCCGUGUGCAUGUAUACCUCAGCCUGAAGACUGAACCACCAGACUUGCUCAGAGCAGGAAUGAAGUACACGUAAUAUAAAUUAGAGCGUGGUACGCUUGCGCGUAGCAGAUCAUGGUGUAGUUAAGAAGAAAAAAAGAAGCAGUGCUACAGUCGUACUAGACGCUGGAAUGGCUUGUAUUGGUUGAAAUUUUCUUAUUUUUCAGAUUCAAAAAUCUGUUUGCUCUACAAAUUCGAUGAGUGCAUCUAAUCAGUUCUGCAGCGCCAUGGUGAACGUUGGGAGGUGUUGGCACGGAAGACGGAGCGGGAAAAGGUUCACGACAACUAUGCGGUGAUAAGGAUAUCAACGGAUUGUGCAUUUACAGUUAGCGGGUGAGCCCACGCUGUACCUCGUAGGAGAACCUGGCCAUGGGUAUUGGAGAAUGCAUAUCGUAUGCCGGGAUCGUGCUUGACCUUGAACACUGACUCUGCUCGAUCACGGGUUCACAAUCGGUCAUUACGUUACCGGCGGCUUGCCAGCAAUCAGCAUCGGCUAUUCUUUUUCCGUUCAGUUCUUCCUACCGUGCUUCUGUGUAUAAAGUGCCUUCCAUUAACAUCUCCCGACAACAAGUUGGAGUUGCUUCUAGCACGGAUUAUGAUGGUGCUGUUGCUGAAGAGAAAUGUUGUGUUGCCUGGUUGCACUGGACAGGAUGGUUCACACAGUGUAGUCGAUCUCCUGUUGGUGUCGAUUGUUCCCUUCGAGCCGGAGGCCCAUCCCGGCCGCUCAGUGCGAUAGUUUUAGGUGCUAGAAAUCCAAGAUGUAAAUAUAAAAUGGUUACUUUACAUGUUAAUACAGAAAAGGGUACUAUAUAGGUUAUAGAAUUACGGCUUUUACUUACUAAUAAAAACAUGAACGAGCAAAAUGCA